rnacentral:lncRNA from 1 species
GAUGCCUGAUCUCAUCAAUCUAGCGGGAGAGACGGGAUAACCUGUCCGAGAUUAUAGCGCCGCUAGGACUCCGCCGAAAAAUCACUUAAAAAAUUGCCAAAAAUUACUUCGUGCAAAGGGCAGCCCGCGGAGCUUCACCAGGGUUGGCGCAGACGGUAAGAACCUGAAGAAGUAACAGCGGGACCUGGGAGGUGGCAGUGGGGGACCGUCAGGCGAUGGGGGGGGGGGGGCAGCGAGGGGGCACUGGGUCCGCCCUCNNNNNNNNNNNNNNNNNNNNNNNNNNNNNNNNNNNNNNNNNNNNNNNNNNNNNNNNNNNNNNNNNNNNNNNNNNNNNNNNNNNNNNNNNNNNNNNNNNNNNNNNNNNNNNNNNNNNNNNNNNNNNNGGGGCUCCGCAGGCCGGGGCUUCUUGACAGGAGAGGGGCGAGCGUCCCCUCCCCCAUUUGCCAAACCGAGCGGUCUUUAAUCGCAGUUUUCCCGGCCCGCUGACGGCCGUCUUCUCGUGACAUGAAAUUUAAGAUCUACGGAAAAUUAAGGACCGAGAGUCUAGUGGGUGCCUCCAGUCCGUCGUGCGGACCUGCUGUCCGCGGGACCCAGCACUGUAUAUUGUGUUAGACGCUGAAGCGUGAGGUGCCCUCGGAAUGUGGGUUUCACAACGUAGCCCUACGGCUUUGCGCUCCUCGGUCCCGGCAGGAGUAACCCUGACGGUGUCUGGCUUUUCCAAUUUGGGCAAGAUAGGGCGGGGGCAGACUUUUGAGGUUUCAGCGGGCUCCUAGGGAAGAUGCUGGACUUUCGCUUUUCGCUCGGGAUUUUUGUCCUUUGCUCUCACGGUGUUGUUUUUUCUGGGGGGGAGGGGGUGAAAGAUAGGGUUUGGAGCUUGCAAUUUCCUUCUCCCAGUUGCACUUUUCUUAGAAGACUCCUCCGAUCUCUGAAACAUGUCUCAGGGAAAAAAAAGCAAUCUGUGAAACUGUAUUGAUGUUUUCCUCACGAAAAAGUCUUAGCCCGGACAGCUUAACGGUAAUUUUGCGAUCUCCACCUUUUCUCGGGAACUCUCUUGACUGAGGCGGAGGGAAGAGGACUGUUAUUUGUCUUUCCCUUUAGUGAUUUUUUUUUUUUUUACGUCGUAGUUUCUACCAAUUCUUAGUCGAUAACUCUUGAAUGAUUUGAGCCAGUUACGGUUUUAAGCAGUACUUUAUAAAUAAUGGCCUUCGUAAAAAUUAUUCAUUAAAGAUCUGUUAGGUUUUGAGUCUUUUUCUGCGCUGAAGGCACCGCUGAUUAACCCUUUGCCGGUGUGUUUUGCAUGUGGGGCGCGCGGCUGUGGGUUGCGAAUAUGCAGGAGAUGGGUUUUGCAGCAGCUAUUCAAUUGUUCGCGAAGAGGAAAAACGCUUUCUGGGGACCGCACUCACACCCUCUUUAGGACCACCUGCCUGAAGAGUUUUUCCCCCUGGAAUUGAUGUAACGAUUGAUUGAUUUCUUAUUUCUGUAAAGACUGGAGGACCCGCCCUCACUUAGAAUCUGUCCCCGAGGAGAAUAGGAGAGCGCAAUGUGAUGUUUUUCAAAUUGUGUCUAACGGAGCUCCCAAAACACCGGACUUGUUACCCCCUGAUUGGCUGGAAGGGAGCGGGACUAGGGGGUUUGAAAGUUGAACACUAGAUUGUGAUUCUCGACUUUGAGAAAAAUACUUUUAGAGAACCACGGAAAUAGUUAGGAAACGUUAAGACGGGGAGUUUGGGGGGUGGGGGGGGAAGCUGGUGUUUAGUAUUUUUUUUCUUCCAUAAAGGACUUUCGAACAGUUCUGAAAUGUGUAUUAAAAGUAAAACUGAGGAUGCAGUUUUCGCAAAAAUUGUAAUUCUGUUGGCUGAAAUUGCAAGAUUUUUAUGUGUUUGCCCCUGUUAUCUGUUGGUUAAAAACUGACUGUAGGGUCUAGGGUUUUUAUUUCUUUGGCAGAAAAUUUUCAACUUAAGCUACACAUUUCGAUGCAGAGUUCGGGAGAAUUGUUUCUUUUAUUUUGAUGAUAAGAAACUUAACAUUUCUUAGGAACGAGCCUCCCCACAUUGCCCAUAAAAAUUGUAUGUAUUUAAAUUUAUUUUCCACAUCUAACUUAAAACACAUGGGUUUUGCAAAUUCAGGCAUUGCUGUGGACUUAAAACUUUAUUAACAAGAAAUUUACGUUGCUUAAUUUAGACAAUACAACAGGUAAGUAUGCACAGGUGCUUAUGUAUGAUUUCAUUCCUUUGAUAAAUUCACUGUGAAGAAAUACAUCGCAUACACCAUUGUGGGUGUGUUGUGUCUUACUUGGUUGGUUUUCAGUUCAUUUUUGUUUAAUGUUGGUUGAGACAGCCGUCAAUAUAUUUCUAUUUAUUACCAAGCUUGUCAUUCCGUUUAAUUGCAUCUUGAUAAAAGGCGGGUGUGGUUUUCAAAGCAAAUCGGUGAAGUCAGUGAUAAACAAGAUAGCUGUAGGUACUUUUUAAAAGAUUUUUUAAUUUAAUAGAAAUUAAUGUUCUUUUAUGAAUAGCAGUUGAAAUUUUGAAACUUAGUUUGUAUUCUAACAUUAGGUCAAAUAUACAUUGUUAGAAGAUAUUCAAAUGAAAAGAUCCCACGACUUUUAAAAUCUCUGUAGGGCUAUAAAUAUAAUUUAUAUUGAGUGAAAUAGCUGAGUUUAUAAAUAAUGCUAUUUUGUAUUGCCUUCAUAACAAGAAUUGCAAUUGUGGAAUCUUUGUUCAUUACCUUUCUUCAAAGCUGUUUAUUUUGAAUCAUCUCAUGAAAAUUUCAUGAAAGGUGCUAAUUAUCCUCUCUAUAAAAUUUGACUUAAUGAAGUUGUAGGAGACCUCAUUUCUGUUUUAAGUGUAAUUUUACCUAUGAUACAGAACUAUCAGGUUUUGCUUUUUUUACUGUUAUUUUGGGUUUGGGGUUUUAAUUUUCAUUCAGAUUAUUAUGUGACUUGGAGAGUUUUGAGGGUGGGGUAAGAGAGGGCUUUAAAUUCCACCAGGCGGGUUAAACUUAACCAUACUUUUUUAGUGCUUUGGUUUAUGAGGGUUUUUGUUUGUUUUAAGGAGUGAUGGUGAAGAAUUGUUUUAUUUAAUAAGCCAUUUUUUAAAGAAGUGAAGGAUUCCUUUAUUUAAAAUACUACACUUAAAGCUUGAGAAUGUACUAGCACCUAAAUAAAAAUGACAGCAUUUAAAAUAUUUUCUCUUUUUAUGUGAUGGGUUUUUAGAUUUGUGGCCAUGUAGGUAUGAGUUCCAACAUGUAUAUUAUUAUUACGUAUAGUAUCCAUAUUUCUCUGUAGAAAUUGAUAAUUCUCAUUUUCUAUUGUAAGGACUAGAAAAGUCAUUUAUUCCCUCUGGAAAACAAUGGUGGGUAAAGGUGUUGCCAGUAGCUCUACUCUUUUUAAAGCUAUGUUUAUAUAACAUGGGGGAGAGGGAACUAGAGAAGGUAAGGUGUCAGUCUUCCUGGUAGCAUUGAUAUUCAUUUGUUUGCCUUUCAAUUUUUUUUAAAACUCCAAAUAAAAGUGCAAUUUUAGACUUUGCUUUAAUGCUAUUAACUUGCCUCAGUUGUACAUUUACAAAAUAUAACCUCCAGUGUUUGCAAGUAACACUACAUUUUUUCUAAUCAGAUUAAUAUCACUUUUUAAUGUUACCAAAAACUGGAACCAAGGAUGAAAAUUUCACAAUAGCUUUCAUAUUCUGGAUCCCUUGUUUCAUCAUGUUUUGUGUACUACAUUUUUGUUUUUUGUUUGUGAAGACGUGUAUAUUUUUAUUUCUGUUUAUUGGCAUGCAGUAACAAUAUACUUCAAUAUUGGUCAGUUAAUAAGAUUUACAAGAAAAAAAAAAAAUGCCCAGAGACUGUAUUGGGUAUUUCUUCUAUGUGAUACAUAAGCUUUCUCCAAUUAAAAAAAAAUCAAUUAAAUACACUAUUUUGAAAUUUUAUUGUAUAAAAAUUUGUCUCUCAUUUUAAAAAAUUUCACUGGCCUAAAAUUGGCUUUUUUCUUUUUUCCUUUUGUUUAGUGAAACUUAAUAAUUCCCACAUUGAUUUCUUUUUAACCCUUUUUUAGAAGAAACAGGUUAUUGGUCUGAUUAUGACUAGAAAACACAUUUUAGAAAGAACUGUCAUGCCAGAGUGUUCAUGUACAUGUAGUUUUGUUAUUUCUUACUGUUACUAAUUUUUAUUUAGCAAACUUAGAAACACUGUGGCCAGACAACUAAUUUGGCAUGUAAUUAGACUCAAACUAUGACUUGCUGAAAUUUGGUAGCCCCACAUCUCUUAAGACCAAAGGAAAUCAAUAAUAAACUACCACUUUCAAAUAAGUGUCAAAAAUUAGAUUAAGUCAUUUUUGCUAGUGUUAGUAUUAGACUUUAAAAGUCGUGAUUGUCUUAACAAGAGUAGUAUCACUUUUAGAAUUUCACGUUACUAAUAAAUGUUUAUAUGUUUGAUUAUUUGCAUAUACAAAUGACUGUAGAGGCUUCCUAUAAAUAUUGCUUUCUUAUAGGGAAAUGAUUUUCCUUUGCCUUUUUCCUCCCCAGUGUCUGUCUUAGAGAUGCUUUAAAGGAUCUCCUUUUAGAAAGAAAAGUUUCAAAUAUGAACUGAUAUUAAGUAUACAUAUUAAUUUUAUUUUUAAUAUUUUUUAUCUAAUUAUGAGAAGGUUAAUAUACUUUUUUUAUUACUUUCAUAUUUCACUAAAAAGUCUUUGCCCUGGAAAAAUUUUGCACUGGGUUUUAAGUGUAAAUAACUACUUUGUAAUAUGUUUGACAUUGAGUUGUACUAGUUUGGGGGGGCUACAUCUUUUUUUUCUUAUCAUACACAUUUGGUUUAAUAUUUAUCUUCGAUCCAAACCUCUUUUGUUCUUUAUUGUCUAGUAUUUGUUGUUUCCCCACUAUUUGAAAACUUUUGGCAUGGAGUACAUAAUGGUUUCUAUUUUCUUUCUGUGAUUUUUAAAGUUGUGACACCUUAAUUUUCAGAGUGCUCAAAUAUAGAAAACUUUGUCUAGAUCUUUUGAGAAGGACUAUGUAGAAAUGAUUUUAAUGUUUCAAAAUGUCAUGGUUUUUGGGUUGAUGUUUGUGAGUUACAUAUGUGUGCUAUUUGUUGUUAAAUAUUUGGCGGCAGAGGAAUAAAGGUUUUUUGGUUCUCAUUUCUUUUCCUAAGCUAUUCUUAAAUAACAGUAGAAAUCUGAACUCGUUAACAUACGGUACGGUAUAAACCUAUGGUAAUUUAACAACUUUAUAUUUUUACAUAAUUGCCAUUAAAUCAUUAAGAUUCAAGUGAAACAAAUGAAGAAGCCACUUCUAUACAUUUGGUUACACCAUCUACCUGGAAAUAUGAAAAAACCAUUGGCCCAAUAGUCAUCCACUUGUUACUUAUAAAUAUUUUAAUUUAUUUAAAAAGUUAAUUCUAAAUUUUUUUUCUGUUAGAACUGUAAUGUCUUAAAAUAUUUGGAAAUAUCAGUAUAAUUGUUCACUUGGGCAUGGCAAAAGACCAAACUUAAGAAUAGUAAUUUCUGUCAUCAUUAAAAUGUUUGAUAAUUUGGGGAGAAAGGUAGUUAAAAAUUUAUCUCUGUCUCUUGAGUAGUUCUUUUAACUGUGGAUUUUAUGAGUUUUAGAAACACAAACUGUAUUUCUGAUAUUUUCCUUAUGGAGUCACCUUUACCAGUCCUCCAGCACUUACACACACACACACACACACACACACACACACACACCUUUGAAAAUGAAUGCCCUAAAGAGAAAUGAAAGCAGAAACAUAUUAAUCUGAUUUGUUUGAAGAGGCUUCAGAUGAUAAAGCAUAUCACAGGUGUUUCUAAUCAAGUUAUUUCUGCUUAAAAAACAUUAUUUUCAAGUUAGGGUUUCUUUGAACACAGGCAAGAUUGGGGUCAUUUUGAAGAUUUUUACCUUCGUGUUCAGGGAUCAACUGUGGAACUGCAGGAGGCGGAAAUCUGUUGAGUGUCUUCAUGCUAUAAUACAUGACAUUUUUAUUGCAGGUUUUGACCUUUAGGAGAGAGCCAAUUCUGGAGAACAACCUAACUUCUCUGAUUGAACACUCACAUAAUGCAUUGGAACAUGAUAGGAGAUUAAGGUAUACUAAUGAAUUUUAAAAGCAUACUAUUUCAUAUCUUUGCAGUAUAAUUGGACUAGACCAUUAGUAAAGCUAGAACUUUUAGGUGAGCUAAAACCAAUAAAGAUUUAUUAAUAGACAGAAAUCUGUGAAGUGGUCAGGUAGGCUUCUCUUAUUAAAACUCCACAUUUUUUAAUAUAAUUGCUAUUCUCAUCGACUUUUAUUAGAUCCAGUCCCAACUGAAUUUAUUCAUUCUAAAAAUAAGAAUAUAUAUAGUGAUUUUUCUUUUUUUUUUUUAAGGUUAUUAUACUGGUAAUAUAAAGAAGAAUUAAAUAGUACACUUUUCAUCUCAUAAAAUGAAAGGUUUAAAUCAAAUAGAAUUUGGUGCUUGGCUGUUUGACAGGUAUAAUGAUAGGUAGAGCCUAUAAGUUUAGGUAAGAUUAAUGAGACUAUUUUAAGAGAAUUUAAAGUAUCCCAGAUACCAUCCUAACCAAAAGUGGCAUUUUGGUUGAAACUGAAAAACCCACUUUCUUAAGCAGAAACUAGUAUCUUACUCAUAGGUACUCUGAAUAAAAUAAAUUGUUCAUAUCAAAAAUUACAGACUAUAAAAAUGUAGAAUGCCAAAACUUCCAGUAACUUAAUUUUGCCUCCAAAAUACUUUAUCACAGAGCCACUUUUCUAGUAUAUUUUCUUUGAUUUUUAUAGUUUUUUGAAGGUUUCAGAUACUUAGCUAAUAAAAAUUUUGAUUGUUUUGUAAACAGUGACCUGGUAUAAUGAAAAUGAACUUACUGAACAAUAUUACUAAGCAUUGGUUAAUUUUUGCAUGGUAAAAAUAUUAAUCACAUGAUAAAGUAUUAACCCUAACGUAUUUUUAAAAAAAGUAUUUGCUAAAGUGAGGUUUACUAAAAUAGAGCAUAAUAUGAAUUUUUCUUUAAAUUUUUUUUCACCUAAAAAUAUUUACUUUAUAUGCUUACGAUACAGGAGAGAUAGCAAAGAUUUGUUUUCCUAAGAAAAGUGUUAAUUUUGUCUUAUGAGUGAAGUGUAAUUGUCAUAUAACUGCUUGUAUCUUUAAAUGUUCAGUUAUUUUAAAGCAAAUUCUCUAAUGUGUGUUUGAACAUUGAGAUACGUAACAAAAUAUUUAAAAACUAAUAUUCAGCAUUUAUUAUAAGAUAUUAGAUAAUCCAGGAAUGUGAAUCCAUUAACAGUUAAAACUAAAUAAAAUGUUAAAAUUUAAUAGAAAUCAGUUUAAUAUAAGAGCAGAGUUCACAUAUUGAUAUCAUUAUACUGUAAGGUGUCACUAUAUACUGUUGGAGAUAAAUACAGGGUAUUGAAUGUCUUCAUAGCUUAGAUUUGAGAAUGUUAUAAAUAAGCAGCUUAGUUUAAAUAAGAUGGAAAUGAAUACAACUUUUUCCCCCUCUAACUUAGCCAGUGAUUUUCAGAUUAGAAAACAUUAAGAUGAAAAGUGAAAAAUGUGGUUUCUGAAUGUCUGAAAAAUAAAAACAAAUCCAGAUUCAAUUUAUCAGUUUCAAUCCAGAUAUCUUUGCACACAGCCUAUUGUUAAAUGGAGGAAGAGUGAUAGCUUUUGAGUUGAUAUUUUAGAUAAAGACAUCAAUCCCCAGAGUUUCUAAUUUAGAGAGUUUAUGAUUUAUGAUCUUUUAAGUUGUCAAAACUUAUUAUUUGGACACAAACAUUUAGCACCAUAAAAUCAUCUCUCUAUAACUAUAUACUGGCUUAUAAACUUCCAAAUUUUUAGCUUAGUAAAUAAUCUAACAUGUAAGAGAUUUGGUGCAAAUAUUAAUAGUUUUCUUGUAUUUGGUCAGCUCUUACAGGAUAAGACACUUUAACCUAAUUGGUAGUGUGUGUUAUUUUAGAAGACAGGUUAAUAAAGGCUUUUACUGCUAUGUGUGAUUGGCUAUCCUUUACCCCUUAAAGGACAUUUUCUACGGAUUUUAGGUGUUUUAAAUUUGCAAACCUGAUUAUCUAUAUCUAAGCCUUGGUAAGUACUUUAUCAUAUCAGGAUUUGGGGAAAAAGACUUACUGUGGUUUUUUUUUUCUCUGAUACACUUCUUAUUUGGACAGUGUUUAUAUUCUGGGUUAAAUGCAUUUUCCGGGUUAAAAAACAUUCAUUUUCAGGAAAAAUUCUUAAUUGUUCCUAAAAUACAGUUAUACUGUCAGUGUUCAAAUUUUUUUGAAAUAGUUAUCCUUAGCAGGGAAAGAAUAUUAGGAUAAACUAGAAUUGAGAAAAUUUAACAUGUCCACUCAGGUACUUGAAAUUCUUCAUUGUCAUUGGUAGAUAAUUCUAGUUUAUAAGGACAACAUAUUUUAAGCAGUUUCUCAGCUGUAACAACUUUCUUUAUUGUGGUUUUGUAAUGUUGCUGUGGAUUCAUUAAAGAAUAGUCAAUUAAAAAAUUUUUUAAAUGUUUAUUUGAGGCAGUUUUGUAUGUGUGUACUUUGUGGUGUUUCUUGACCAACCAAUAAAAUAUAUUCUUAGUCUAUUUUUUCUUUUCAGAAUUAUAAUUUCUGAUAACCAUUUUCAAAACAAUAUUUAAGUAAUGGGAAGAUUUAAAUUUUUCAUUAAAUAUCAUUUUGAAGUAAAAUUUCAGUUCUUAGCACGACAAAACACAGUUUUGGUAUUUUAUUAACAUGUAUGAUUUGGAUUAGUUUUACUUUCCUGUUUCAUGAUUAGAGUCACUUGGAAGAGAAACAUGUAGUGUAUUUCAGAUGUAGUUCCCGAGACUGAUUAAUCCAUUGGUUAAUAGUUCAUUAAUUUGUUACUGUUUUGUGUCUUAAUUUUUAAAUAUCCUUUUUUGAUAUUUGCUGUUAGUUUUUUCCAUUGUUUGGCUUUCAUAAUAAAUGUAUUAUAGUAUUUUUGUUACCCUGUGAUCCUCAGAAUUAUUUCUUUUAUUUUUAUUAGCAUUAUUUGUUACUGAACUGCUGCUAAACAGAACAGUUGUUUUUCAAUUUUGAUAAAAAUAAAAGAUUGAGUUUUUCCCUUUUUUUCCCCACAAAAUGUUUUUAUCUGAAUUUUAGGUAUUUCUGUUUUAUACUUUUAUUUUUAAUCCCAAAUCUAGCCUUCUUGACUAGAUAUUACUUAAAUUCAGCCAGUUCUAGCAUUUAAAAAAAUAAUUUAUAGAUGUCCUAAUUUUCCUGAGUUUUUAAAUAUUUUUCAGAAUCAAAAAUUGCUUAAGGCAUUAAAAGAUAAGGAUUGCAUUUAAAAUUGAAGUAUUAAUUUAAUGCUAUUGGAUAUAAAUAGCAUCACAUUUAAAUUUAAAGAUAAUUUGACAGAAUACUUCUAUUUGUUAUUCAUUUGAUAUUAUGUACUAAGUUUUUAGCUUCAUAUUACACAUUUAAAGUAGAUAAAUUACAUGUGGAAAUUUUUUUUUAAUAGUUGGAGUUUUUUUGUAAAAGAAAAAAGUUUAUGGGCUAAAAAUCUUCUUUGUUAACAGGGUCUGAUUGCAAACAUAUGGUGAUGAUUAGAUAUGUGGAACUUGGGAGUCUGGAGCUUUUUAUAAGCAAAAUAUAAUUUCAUUUCUUGAUUAAAUUUUAGAUACUUUCUUAUUUUCCAGGAGAAUGGAUAGGAAAGAUAAUAUGAAUUUAUGAAUUCAUGGCAAAUCUGGCUAAAACUUUUCUGAGAAUUUUGAUAAUUGAGCAGUUAAAUCUAAACUAGGAGCUGAAGAUCAUUACAUGUGUCAUUAAUUUUUUGCCUUAGAUACAUUAUAGGUUCACUUUCUAAUCAAAACACUAAUUUUGUCUUCUACUCUUCCCAUCCUACUUUUUAAGAAAAAAAAAAAUUCUUAAAUAAUUGUAUCAUAUAGUGAUGUAAGCAGACCUGCUAGGUAGGUUGGGCCUGAACCAUUUUUGUCUUCUGUGUCAGUUGCAUAUGCUUUUCUUAGCUUGCUGCUUCAGCAGCAGCAGCAGCAACAAUGAAUAAACAAGUAUCACCACAGCCCUUGUUCUUGUCCCUUACAGCUGGGAGCAGGGGCUGGGAGAUUGCUGCUGCAUGUCAGCUGUUGUACAGAAUAGCAUCAAUAUGCAAUAAUGGUGGCCAAAGGAGCCUACACCCACCAGCUUUUACAGACCAGGUAGGAAGGGUCCAACUAUCAUAACCCAUAUAUAGCAUAAUAAAUACUUUUUUUGACAAAAGGUACUUUUUUUCCCAAAGCUGCAGAAAGAGAACAGUAGUUGCUUACAGUUCUUAGACUUACAUUUUUCUAUUAUUUACUCUGUGGCUUUAUUUAAUUUUUGUUCUGUUAAUUUCACGUAUGAAUGGAAAACUGUCUUGUUUCUGGAAGUAUGCAUGGUAUGUUUCAUGUUUUUCACUUUUAAGCUGGUAGAUUGGAAAAAAACUAUUAAUAAGUUGCUGAUAACACAAGUUAUGUAUUGUAUUAAGGAAAGAGAAGUUGAUUAUGGCCACAUUGGAGUGUUUCUUUCACUUUGGGGCCAUAUUCUGAGCCCAUGUUAUCUUUGUUUAUAGCCCAAACAAACAAGGCCAAAUUCUUGCUGAUUUCACUAUAACUAAAAAGAAUACCCCAUACUACUUAGUGUUGUAUUUAACUAAAGACAGAGCAGGCUGCAGGUGGAAACUCAUUAAGUCUUUACUUUUUCUUACUGUUAAAAUGUUUUAUAUCUGAAAGUUCAGAUUAUUCUAAAUUUUUUGGAAUUAGGUCUUUGUAAUAUCAAAUGAUACAGAACGGUGUUUUUUAUUUUUACAAUUUAAAUUUGCACAGCUUUGCAUAACCUAAAUAUCUGCAUUUUUCUCACCUUUUGUAUCUAAAUAAUUCCAGUAGGUUAUAGUUACAAGGAAGUGAAUGUUAGAUUUCUAUUAAUGUUCAGAUUUCAUCUGUAGUUAAUGAAGUGUAGGUAGAAAACUACAAAUGACAUUUUAUUUUGUAUAAGCCUAAUAUCCCAAUUUAAAGUCUUGACAUUUGCGGUAGCAUUCUUUUUAAAAGGUAAUCAUAGUUUUUCCCUGGUCAUCUUCAUUAAAAUUACAACUAAUCACUCCUACUCUUAAUGUUUUCCCUUACCAAUCACAGUAAACUCAGAAUAUGAAUUUCCUGCUAAUACUGUUGAAACAAGCUUUGUUGUAGUAUGUGUUAGUUUUGUCUGAAAUAAUAAAUGAGCUCAAAACCUGAUCUAAUGUGAAAUUAAAUGUAUUCAACCAUAAAUUGAAAUUACUUUUUUUUUUUUUUUACUAAUACUAGAAUGUUGUCUUUAAUGUGUUUGAUGUAAUUUAACAGAUAACGUUUUAGUUACCUGCUCUUAAUCAAAAAGUGAGUUACAUAAUCCUUUAUAUUGAAAAUAUCUUGUUUUUGCUAUGAAUUACGACAUAAACUGUCUAUGGACCACCUGUACCGGAAUAACUUAGAAUAAAGCAUUUUUCCAGACCUGCAGAAUCAGAAUCUCUGGAGCUGAGACUCAGAAAUUUGUACUUUUUACAAGCUCCACAUGAGUUCUUUUAGAAGCACCACAUGUGAGGAGUACUGCCCAAAAUGAAAUGGGGGAGGAUUCUUCACAUCAAUAAACCAUUUAUAUUUUCUGUUUCUCUCCGCCCCCCCAGCCUCUUUGGUCGUCAUGGAUCCAAGCUCAGUAACUACUUCUGAAUCGUAUCAUCUCUACCACAGUAGUUCUAGAUUAAGUCUUAUUAUUUCCUCAAUCAUGUGAAGAAAAUCAGUAUUAUGAGAGCUUUAUUUUUGUUCAAGUAUCUUGGGGCACAUUUUAGUCUCUGGUACAUUUAGUAUACCUAUGUUAGACCUACACUUGAUAAAAACAGAAGGAUUUGGUCAUUUAAGAAUUUUAAGAUUUUUUCCUCUGGAUAGUGGCUAUUUUUCUUAAAUAUACUUCCAAACAUUGGAGAAAAUAAAGAAGAACUUCUUAUAUGCUGCUUAUGGGAGCAUUUGACAAUGUCGUAGUAAAGUUGAAGAUAUACAUAGGCUUGAACCCAACAAUUCCGUUCCUAGAUGUUCUAGGUAAACUGAGACAUGUAUGAAAAAGUCUUAUAGUUACUUUUAUUUUUAAUAGGAAAAAAUCAAAAGUACUAUAAAUGUUAAGCAACAGGAGAAUGGCAAAUUGUGUCAUAGUCAUAUGAUGAACUGUUUAUUAUACUGCUGUUUAAGUGAGAGCUCUGUGUGAUCAUGGAUGAGUGUCUUCGGCGAACAAAAACAAGUUGCAAAAGGUUGUAUAUUAUAUAAUAUUUAUAUAAGAUAUAUAGCAUUUAUGUAAAGCUAGAAAGCAAUGAUAUAUAUGGUUUUAAGUACUUGAUUUUAUAGUAGUAGUAGUGUAAAAGCAUGUAUAGGAAAUAAAUGCCAAAUUCAAGAUUGUAAUUUUAUAUUAGGAGAGAAAGGAAUGGGAUCAGGGUAUGGUACGAAAAGGAUUCAACUAUAUGCAUAGGCUUUUUCUUUAAAAAAAAAAAAAAUAUGUAAAGCAAAAUAAGCCUGGCAGAAUAUUAGAAUUCCAUGAGAACGCCAGGGAUUUGAAAUUUUCCUGUGGAUUUGAAAUAUUUUUUUCAAAUAUAUCAAAAAAUGUGCUGUCUUUAUUUUGGUGAACAUCUUCUACAAUAAGAUGUAUACUUAGGAUGCUCCUAAAAGCAUGGAUGACUUUAUUCUAUUUGUUCUAUAUCUUACAGUAACUAAUAGAAAUAGUACUACUUCCUACUCUUGUAAAUAAAGAACAGCCUUGGAGGCAAUUUUUCUUAUCACUGCUCUUCCAUUUACCCUUGAAGUCAGACAGUUUCACAAUAGUAUUUUCUUUUGUUAUGGCUAUCGAUCAUAACAUUAUUUUCAGAAUUUGUUUAUGCAUUUGAAACUCCAACUUAAGCUUUGUAUUAUACUGUUUUACAGUAGAAUUCUUGGAAUUAAACAAUAUAUGGAUUUUUACAUUUUGCAUUUGUAUACAUGUUACAUGUGUGUAUGUGUGUGAGAGAAAGAUUGGUCAAUCUUGAGGUAUGAUCUUGAAUUUAUCUUAAAAUAUCUGCACUUAGAUGAUGUCCUCUAGAAGCUGAGUGUGCUCCAAGUUAGACAUGAAGUGUGAGUUUUAGUUGCACUUAGAUAUUUGACUUUUAAACUUUGAGAAGGUAAUAGUAAUAGAAAAGUGAAUUUUAAAAACUAAUGAUAACACUUUGGACUGAAAUAGGUAAAUGCUGCUUGGUGUUCAUAAUCUGUGAUUGUGCUGUAUAAGGAUCAGAAAGCUGUGAUUAUCAACUUUAGCUGAAAAUUUUAUUAACUUCUAUAAUGUGAUCAAUUUUUUAAAGUCUUCACUCUUAUUUUUUUUCCUAGGUUUAAUAAAGAUAAAAUGAAGACCAUAAUAAAAUAGUCCCCUACUUAGCCCAGCAAUUCUUACCUUGUAAGUAUCAACUCUCAGUUAAUAUUUAGUAUUAACCUCUGCCAUUGCUAUAAAAAGUUAGUGUUUCGCUACAGGUGUUGCUUUAUUUCUGAAUGACAAGUUUCUUAUCUCCCCUUACCCCCUACACAUUGAAGGUUGAUAUUAAUUUAAUCCAGUUUAGAGCAAGAAUAAUGCUAUUGCUUUGAAUAAGUUUUCUAUUUUGGAAAGUAUUUUACAGCAAGGCUCUAUUUUCUAAAUCUGAGAAUCACAAUUUUAAACACUUAUCCUCCAAAGGAAUUGAUAAAUAAGUAAUUAUCUUUAUUAUUAUUAGUCAGGUUUAUUUUUUUUUUUUAUUUUUUUAAAUGUUUAUAUAUAUU